CUUGUCCCCUGAAUUCUUCUGUCUCGGGGAAUUGCUCUCUCUGAUUAACAAUCAAGAAACUGCACGAGGCAGGUGUCACAACUCACUUUUUCCUUCAGCUUGUUUGCAUCAGGCCUGAUUUUGUUGGGGACAGGAGGAGAAAUCUGCAGGAUCUCAGCAUCUUUCAAGAGGGUUUCAAGCAGUUUGCAAUGAGUGACCCAUGGGCGUGGCUGCUCUUGGCUUGGAGAAGAGCUCAAGGACUGGUUACAGUUUCGGAUAAGACAUGGCGUGGUUGCCAUUUUCUCUCUACCUUCUGGGGACCAGGCUGUGUAGAGCAGCGCUGUUACCUGUGCCGAUCAUCCUCAUCAGAUUUGUUUUUGGAGGAGCUGUGGUUCUUUGGCUUGUUUUCCUGCUAGGCUGCUUCAUGAAAAGUAAGUAUCCAGGAAAUGGAGGCAUUUGAUGCUGAUCAAUGUAGCGUUCAACAAAGCAUCUCA
rnacentral:lncRNA from 1 species